UGCAAUGAAACUUGUUCUUGCCAUGCUUGAAUGUGGAGGUGAUAAUAUCAUACCAUUGGUUUGUGAGGAGGCGCAGGAGCCCGCGAUGUCAAAGCUACUUGUCCACAGAAUACCUGCGGCUGUUCAUAGUCAAGAGUUGCACAAAGUUAUUCCUGGCGACUUUACUGUGGAAGUUAAGGCUAAUAAAAAAGGGCAAGCAGACAAGUAUUCUGCUUUGAUCAACUUCAAAACUCAGCACGAGGCGAAUGAGGCAUUCGAUAAACUUGAAGGCAACCAAGAGAAGGAUAUUGGUGGACGACCACAGAAGCUCGUUUCAUUUCAUCUUGAUUCUGGUGUAUUAGGGUCUUGUUAUGUUCGUAAGAUGGAUGCCAAUAAUGAUUCUAAAGAUAAAGAGGUCACGCCAAAGAAGAGGUCACUUGAAGAUGAAGAGGCCGUUGUAGAGUCAAAGAAACCAAAAACAGAAGACCAAUGUAAAGAACUCAAGGAGGCUGCUGGUGCAGGUUGUAAUCAGUGUGAAACUCAUUCGAUGGAGAUUGAGAAACUAAAGAAAGAUUUAGCCCACAGAGACGAAGAGAUCUCCGCGUUGAACAAAAUCAUCGUUAACCUUGUGAGGAAACAAGGAUUUUAACUCUUCCAUAGAUUUAGCCCGUCUUUUAUUAUUGAUGUAUUUAUUUUCUUGUAUCCUGUAUUUGGUUGGCGAAAGAAUUUG
rnacentral:misc_RNA from 1 species